rnacentral:rRNA from 1 species
GAUGAACGCUGGCGGCGUGCCUAAUACAUGCAAGUCGAGCGAACGGACGAGAAGCUUGCUUCUCUGAUGUUAGCGGCGGACGGGUGAGUAACACGUGGAUAACCUACCUAUAAGACUGGGAUAACUUCGGGAAACCGGAGCUAAUACCGGAUAAUAUUUUGAACCGCAUGGUUCAAAAGUGAAAGACGGUCUUGCUGUCACUUAUAGAUGGAUCCGCGCUGCAUUAGCUAGUUGGUAAGGUAACGGCUUACCAAGGCAACGAUGCAUAGCCGACCUGAGAGGGUGAUCGGCCACACUGGAACUGAGACACGGUCCAGACUCCUACGGGAGGCAGCAGUAGGGAAUCUACCGCAAAGGGCGAAAGCCUGACGGAGCAACGCCGCGUGAGUGAUGAAGGUCUUCGGAUCGUAAAACUCUGUUAUUAGGGAAGAACAUAUGUGUAAGUAACUGUGCACAUCUUGACGGUACCUAAUCAGAAAGCCACGGCUAACUACGUG